rnacentral:rRNA from 1 species
AUCAUUACCGAGUUUUCCAACUCCCAAACCCAAUGUGAACGCUACCCAAUCGUUGCUUCGGCGCGGACGCCCGCAGGGGCGGACCGCCGGAGGCCAUUGAAACUCUUAUUGUAUCUCGCAGUGGCAUUUGUCUGAGUGAAGCCUUCGGGCGAAAAAAAUGAAUCAAAACUUUCAACAACGGAUCUCUUGGUUCUGGCAUCGAUGAAGAACGCAGCGAAAUGCGAUAAGUAAUGUGAAUUGCAGAAUUCAGUGAAUCAUCGAAUCUUUGAACGCACAUUGCGCCCGCCAGUAUUCUGGCGGGCAUGCCUGUUCGAGCGUCAUUUCAACCCUCAAGCCCCCGCGCUGGUGUUGGGGACCGGACGGGAGGGCUUUCUCCUCAGGGCCGCCCCCGAAAUUCAUUGGCGGUCCCGCCGCAGCCUCCUCUGCGUAGUAGCUCUUACGAACCUCGCACCGGAGAGCGGCUGGCCCACGCCGUAAAACCCCCCAACUUCUGAAUUGUUGACCUCGGAUCAGGUAGG